rnacentral:lncRNA from 1 species
UUAGGUUGUGACUCUGCAGGACACCCAUUUAUUGGGAUUCUUGGCAGACUUGGGCAAGCAAAAUGUACAAGUGGGAAAGAAGUAAUCUGGCAAUUGCUACAGAGAAUUGGAGCACUACACCUGUUUUCUUCAGUGUUGUCCAUUUGUCAACAAAAUCAAGUGUGUUCAUCUCCUCCAUCCUCAGUGCCAGCACAGGACCAGGCUGAGAUAUCAAUUUAAAACCAGGCAGACCCUUUUUGUGUGACUGAUGUCACAAACAUUUAGGGGGAAAAAAAAGGAAAGCACAAUACCCUACCUGUAAGACAGUAGAGGUCGUUAUGGCUGAUACAAUCAGUUGUAAAACCUGCAGGGACACAUCAAUCUCUCUGCCUCCUGCAAACACCUCUGCAUAAAGUUUCCCAGCAUGUCAAAGUGCUGGAGAACAGCCACAACAGGAAGAAUGAUAACUGUUCAGGAAUUAGAAUUGAUCUCCUACUGCCUGAUAAACACAGUUAGCCUGGGGUUGUUGACUUGAAGCCAAGUUCUGCUAAAUGGACAAAGUUUCCAAGUCAACCCUUCCUGGUGUUUGACAAGGUGAAGGGAAGGAACUGAAGACAGCUCAAACAAAGCAGACAUUGUUUCCAGUAGGCUGUGGAAAGAUGCAUGACCCAUCAGAAGAAAGUGAGGAAAAGAAGCAGGGGUUGCAUGAAGGCUGAGGCAAGCAGAGUCAAUUUGGAUGAUCCAACAAGGAAAGUGGGGAGUGUUCACCACAGCAAGGUGACACACCAAGGCCAGUAACUUUCACUUGGCCAAUGUGUGCUUGCAGGAUCUGAGCAGGCCUCUAUUCAAAGCCCUGCAAAAUGAGGACUCCACCUCCUCUGUACCAAAGGAAUGGAUGUGCCUGUGUGAGAAGAGGUGUCAGCCCAGGGGAAACUGUAAGUAGUUGUUACAAAGCAGCAGGAGACAAUACACUGCUGCCAGGAGUACCUGCAGAAAGCAGAGGAACACACAGCUCCAUCUGCAACUAACAAGGGGCAAAAAGGAUAAAAACGGUAAAGAACCAGCUCCCCAGUGCUUUCUGCUCCUGUUACACAUCCUCGGGAGCAGCAACACAACCUGCCUCACCCUAGUCUACAAUAAGGAGUCUCUCUCUGCAGCCUCACAUGUAAGCCAGCAUUUUGAUCUUCACGGCCUCAAUGAAGAUGAGCUGGGGAAAGAUGAUGCAAGGCAUGGCAUGGCUUUUAAGCAUUCCAGUCAAACAACCAGGGCAACUCAUUCUGGUGGCCAAUUAUGGCAAAUGCAAGUGGCUCUUGACCCGUGUGGAACUGAUAAAAGCCAGGUGUGUGCUGCCUUGCAGCAGCUCAGCUGA